rnacentral:rRNA from 1 species
AUUGAACGCUGGCGGCAUGCCUAACACAUGCAAGUCGCACGCGAAAGGGGGCAACCCCGAGUAGAGUGGCGGACGGGUGCGUAAUACGUAGGAAUCUACCUGAUAGUGGGGGACAACCCGGCGAAAGCCGGGCUAAUACCGCAUACGACCUAUGGGUGAAAGCCGGGGACCGCAAGGCCUGGCGCUAUUAGAUGAGCCUGCGUCGGAUUAGCUAGUUGGUGAGGUAAAGGCUACCAAGGCGACGAUCCGUAGCUGGUCUGAGAGGACGACCAGCCACACUGGGACUGAGACACGGCCCAGACUCCUACGGGAGGCAGCAGUGGGGAAUAUUGGACAAGUGGGGGCAACCCUGAUCCAGCAAUGCCGCGUGUGUGAAGAAGGCCUCGGUUGUAAGUAC